UUACAUUACAGUCUCCAAAUGAUGCCAUAAAACAACAGAGGAAACAGAAAAAACAGGCGACUCUGUUUUGGUUUUUAGCAGAAACCCAUUUGAGUUUCUGAGUUGAAACUCAUCUUCUUUUUCCUCAAAAACUCAAGUUUUUAUCUGGGUUUUGCUUCUUUUGUCUUGAAACAUUCAAAUCCAGUGGCUUUUUAUCUUGUUAUGUUCUUCUUGGUUGCCAUUUUCAUAUAACGCAGAUCAAUGAGCUCAAGGAAAGAAAGUUAAUUUCAUGAGGGUUUGUUUUGCAAAAUUCAUUGUCCUUCCUUCAUUUGCUUUUGCAAACCCUCUCAUAUAUACACAACCAGGGCCAUUGAAGUUGGAGAACAGCCCACAUGUGCCUUCAACAACAACAAUUGUGGCAGCUCUGAUGUCAUCAAGAUGUGUGUGGUGGUGAUGAUGAGGUCAAGAAAGUCAAGGAAUUGAGAGUGUUGUAGAUGGGAAACAGCAGCAGCAACAACAGCAACAGAAACAAGAACAGGAACAAGGAGAGCAAGAAGGUGGUGAGGAUUGUGUGAAAAGCUGUCUCAAGAAGGAGGUUGCGGAUUCGGAUUCGAAAAAGGAGCAGAGAAGAGAGUUUAAUGGAUGGAUUUCUUGGGGAAAGAAUUGGUUGAGAUCAGGGAAUUUGAAGCCUGUGAAGUGGAAGAUAUUGACAAUGAUAGUGCAUACUGUAAAGGCUGUGUUUGUACAAUUCUAUGACCCUGCCAUAUCAGCUUCAUCUGCAAAUUCUCGAAGCUACAAUAGCAUUGAGCACAGAGAGAAAGAAUAGCUUGUGAUCUUUACUACAUUCAAUUUAUCUUCUUCUCCCGGCAUUAUAAAGGAUCAGCAUGUGGAUAUAUGGCUUGGAUUUCUUUGAUGCUGCCUCAUCAUCCCUCACAUGAGAAAUACUCUAAAAGAAUUCAGUAUAGAAGAUAGUAACAUUUAUUUUUUAAGAAUAUCACUAUUGUUUCUUUUACAGAACAACAUUCUGUUCAUUUGAUAAUUAAAAUUCA